rnacentral:rRNA from 1 species
AUACGUAGGUGACAAGCGUUAUCCGGAUUUACUGGGCGUAAAGGGCGUGUAGGCGGUCUUGCAAGUCAGAAGUGAAAUUCCUGAGCUCAACUCGGGCGCUGCUUCUGAAACUGCAGGACUUGAGUGCUGGAGGGGAUAGCGGAAUUCCUAGUGGAGCGGUAAAAUGCGCAGAUAUUAGGAAGAACACCGGUGGCGAAGGCGGCUAUCUGGACAGGAACUGACGCUGAGGCGCGAAAGCGUGGGGAGCAAACAGGAUUAGAUACCCGGGUAGUCCACGCCGUAAACGAUGAAUACUAGGUGUAGGGGGUAUCGACUCCCUCUGUGCCGCAGUUAACACAAUAAGUAUUCCGCCUGGGGAGUACGGCCGCAAGGUUGAAACUCAAAUGAAUUGACGGGG